rnacentral:rRNA from 1 species
UACAGAGGUCUCAAGCGUUGUUCGGAUUCAUUGGGCGCAAAGGGUGCGUAGGCGGUUUGUUGCGUCGGCUGUGAAAUCCCGAGGCUCAACCUCGGGUCUGCAGUCGAUACGAGCAAACUAGAGUGUUGCAGGGGGAGACUGGAAUUCCUGGUGUAGCGGUGGAAUGCGUAGAGAUCCGGAAGAACACCCGUGGCGAAGGCGGCUCUCUGGGACGGUACUGACCUGAGAGCGAG